rnacentral:lncRNA from 1 species
CUGUAGACUCACAGACUAUAAAAUAUUAUAAUAAACUAUUUUUUCAGACCAUUCUAGUUACUGCUGUUCUUUUUUAAUCUUCAGGGACAGGAUCCAAUGCUGGCUGAAGUCAACUGAAAAUUUCCCAACAAGGCUUUGGAUCAAAUAACCAGGACAAGGUUGACACUGCUGUAAAGAUGACAACAGUUAGGUUGAAACAUGACAAUAUUGACACGAGGCAUCUAUCAAAUAGGAUCUGCAUUAUGUGUACACGUUUUUUGUAAAAUUGUGUUCUGUGUUAGAAGAAAACAGAAUCUUUGACAAAAUGGAGGAAAUGAAGCCACCAGAAUUUCUCAUUGUGGUAUGGAAACUAGCAGAAACUUCAAUAGAUGCAGACUUCUAAAUUCUCCCAGAAGAACUACUGAACAGAAAUCAAGGUGUUGAGGCAGAAAGGAGGAAGAAAUUCUCCAUAUAACAGGCCCAGAGGUUUUGAUUAGCUACAGUACCUUCCCGUUGGAUAAGACUUCAAAUUGUUAAAUAAUCUUUUUAAAUGUUUCAAGAAGUAUUGAAGUGAUGUUGUUGUUUAAUUAACACAAAAAUGAAUUUAGUGAAAUCAUAUUUUAUUUACCAAAUAACAGCAUGGUAAAACCUAGUCUUUUGUAUUUGAUUAGUUAAGACAUGGACACAAGAAUAAACUUGCUCAAUGCUUUUUGAAUAAAAUAUUU